CCUACGGGUGGCAGCAGUGGGGAAUAUUGCACAAUGGGGGAAACCCUGAUGCAGCGACGCCGCGUGAGUGAAGAAGUAUUUCGGUAUGUAAAGCUCUAUCAGCAGGGAAGAAAAAAGUCGGUAUCCGACUAAGAAGCACCGGCUAACUACGUGCCAGCAGCCGCGGUAACAUGCAGGGGGCAAGCGUUAUCCGGAGUUACUGGGUGUAAAGGGAGCGGAGACGGUGAGGCAAGUCUGAAGGGAAAGCCCGUGGCUUAACCCCGGGACUGCUUUGGAAACUGGUUGGCUAGAGUGCUGGAGAGGUAAGUGGAAUUCCUAGUGUAGCGGUGAAAUGCGUAGAUAUUAGGAGGAACACCAGUGGCGAAGGCGGCUUACUGGAC
rnacentral:rRNA from 1 species